UACGAAGGGGGCUAGCGUUGUUCGGAAUUACUGGGCGUAAAGGGCGCGUAGGCGGUGUGUCAAGUCAGGCGUGAAAGCCCCGGGCUCAACCUGGGAACCGCGCUUGAGACUGGAGAACUAGAGUUCGGGAGAGGAUGGUGGAAUUCCCAGUGUAGAGGUGAAAUUCGUAGAUAUUGGGAAGAACACCGAUGGCGAAGGCAGCCAUCUGGACCGACACUGGCGCUGAGGCGCGAAAGCGUGGGGAGCAAACA
rnacentral:rRNA from 1 species